UACGAAGGGGGCUAGCGUUGCUCGGAAUCACUGGGCGUAAAGGGCGCGUAGGCGGACUCUUAAGUCGGGGGGUGAAAGCCCAGGGCUCAACCCUGGAAUUGCCUUCGAUACUGAGAGUCUUGAGUUCGGAAGAGGUUGGUGGAACUGCGAGUGUAGAGGUGAAAUUCGUAGAUAUUCGCAAGAACACCAGUGGCGAAGGCGGCUCACUGGCCCGGAACUGACGCUGAGGUGCGAAAGCGUGGGGAGCAAACAGG
rnacentral:rRNA from 1 species